AUAUAUAUAUAUAUAUAGAAUUAUGCUACUAUACUAUCAAUAGUACUAAGCUCUUGGUAUUAUUGAGUUUUCGGCCGUUCGAUGAAAGGAUGUGCGGUUAGGAUGAUAGUGGUCCCCGGUUAAAUUGAUAGUGGUCCCCUAGGGCUGAGUGGUGGUUGGUUUAAUAGUAUUAUCUAAUGGGUGGAAAUGAUCAAAGGGUAGAUCUAACGGUAAAAAACUCAAUAGUACUAAGGGCUUGAUACUAUUAAUAGUAUAGUAGCCGGACUCAUAUAUAUAUAUAUAUAUAUAUAUAUAUAGAGAGAGAGAGAGAGAGAGAGAGAGAGAGCUAGGCUACUAUACUAUCUAUAGUACCGAACUUCGGUAUUAUAGUAUUGGUUUUCGAUCUUAGGGCGUUCAAAUCAACGAUCCACACUGUUAAAACUGAUCUAGGGUAUUUAAAGUUUCUAGAAAUAAAAUUUUAUAUUUUUUCGACAUAGUUUACUUCAUGAUCAAACUAUUUCAAAAUUGUCAAUUGUCAAUGAUUAUUAUGACGAGUUUGGAGUUUAACCGUGUAGAAGAAUCUAAAUUUCUUUAAAUUUUGAUAGAAAAUACUUUAAACUAUAUAGAUUAAGGUUAACAUUCUUGAUCUUUGAAUUUAAAAGUCCUAUACUCAAAUUUUAAAGAUUAUUCAAUUUUCACCGUCCAUUUUGAUAUAAUUUAUUUUCUAAGUAAACGAUAUUGAAAAAAACUAAAAUUUUAUUCCUAAGAAAUUUAUAUACCCUAAAUCAUAUUUAACAGUGUGGAUCGUUGAUUUGAACGUCCUAAGAUCGAAAACAAACACUAUAGUACUGGAACUCGGUACUAUAGAUAGUAUAGUAGCCUAAUUCUAUAUAUAUAUAUAUAUAUAUUUAUAUAUUU
rnacentral:lncRNA from 1 species